rnacentral:rRNA from 1 species
UCCACGCCCUAAACGAUGAACACUAGUCGUCGGGAUGCUAGUCAUCUCGGUGAUGCACUUAACAGAUUAAGUGUUCCGCCUGGGGAGUACGGUCGCAAGAUUAAAACUCAAAGGAAUAGACGGGGACCCGCACAAGUGGUGGAGCAUGUGGUUUAAUUCGAAAAUACGCGAAGAACCUUACCUGGGGAUGACAUGUACGUGGUAGCGAAGCGAAAGCGGAGCGACCCUUAGGG